rnacentral:ncRNA from 2 species
UUAUUCAUCACAGGAAUCGGUUCUGCUUAACCGCAGAUUAAUAGGGAAUCGUGUGAAAAUCACGAACUGUCGCGCAACUGUAAGUAACUAAAGUCUUUGUAAAAAAUCCACUGUGCUAUGGCAUGGGAAGGAAAUAAAGAUGUUACAAGUCAGGAGACCUGCCUUUUUCUAUAAACAAAA